rnacentral:rRNA from 1 species
CAAGAGUGAAACUCAAAGGAAUUGACGGGGACCCGCACAAGUAGCGGAGCAUGUGGUUUAAUUCGAAGCAACGCGAAGAACCUUACCUAAGCUUGACAUCCUAAUGACAUCUCCUUAAUCGGAGAGUUCCCUUCGGGGACAUUGGUGACAGGUGGUGCAUGGUUGUCGUCAGCUCGUGUCGUGAGAUGUUGGGUUAAGUCCCG